CCUACGUGAGGCAGCAGUAGGGAAUCUUCCACAAUGGGCGAAAGCCUGAUGGAGCAACGCCGCGUGGGUGAAGAAGGUCUUCGGAUCGUAAAACCCUGUUGUUAGAGAAGAAAGUGCGUGAGAGUAACUGUUCACGUUUCGACGGUAUCUAACCAGAAAGCCACGGCUAACUACGUGCCAGCAGCCGCGGUAAUACGUAGGUGGCAAGCGUUAUCCGGAUUUAUUGGGCGUAAAGGGAACGCAGUCGGUCUUUUAAGUCUGAUGUGAAAGCCUUCGGCUUAACCGGAGUAGUGCAUUGGAAACUGGGAGACUUGAGUGCAGAAGAGGAGAGUGGAACUCCAUGUGUAGCGGUGAAAUGCGUAGAUAUAUGGAAGAACACCAGUGGCGAAAGCGGCUCUCUGGUCUGUAACUGACGCUGAGGUUCGAAAGCGUGGGUAGCAAACAGGAUUAGAUACCCGGGUAGUC
rnacentral:rRNA from 1 species